rnacentral:rRNA from 1 species
CGGAGGGAUCAUUACCGAGUUUACAACUCCCAAACCCCUGUGAACAUACCUAUCGUUGCUUCGGCGGGAUCGCCCCGGCGCCCUCGGGCCCGGACCCAGGCGCCCGCCGGAGGACCCAAACUCUUGUUUUUUUUAGUAUCUUCUGAGUAAACAAGCAAAUAAAUUAAAACUUUCAACAACGGAUCUCUUGGUUCUGGCAUCGAUGAAGAACGCAGCGAAAUGCGAUAAGUAAUGUGAAUUGCAGAAUUCCGUGAAUCAUCGAAUCUUUGAACGCACAUUGCGCCCGCCAGUAUUCUGGCGGGCAUGCCUGUCCGAGCGUCAUUUCAACCCUCAAGCCCCCGGGCUUGGUGUUGGGGCUCGGCCCGUCCCUAGCGGAUGCGCCGUCCCCGAAAUCUAGUGGCGGUCUCGCUGUCGCCUCCCCUGCGUAGUAGCUAACACCUCGCAACGGGAACGCAGCGCGGCCACGCCGUUAAACACCCCAAUUCUGAAAGGUUGACCUCGGAUCAGGUAGGAAUACCCGCUGAACUUAAGCAUAUCAAUAAGGCGGAGGAA